rnacentral:lncRNA from 1 species
CGCCAACUACUGGCCUGGCAUGUAUAACAUAGUAUUCUUUAGCAUAGUGUUUUUGUUUGUUUGUUUGUUUUCAAUGAAAUCAAUAAUUUUGUGUACAUUUUACUUAUUUUUUCAUGUUCUUCUACUCAUUUUGAAUGGUUGCUUGUAAGCAUCUAAUUUGAUUAUUUCUAAUUAAUUCUAAUGUGUUAAAUUUAAUUAAUAAUAUUGGAUAUAACAUUUUACACAAUUUUAUUGAGUAAAUAAAGUGAAUCAUUUUUUUUUACAGUGUACAGCAGCAACAAGUCCAUGUUGGCUGAAUCUAUUUAACAGCUUCUACAGUUAAAGAUAACACUUUAAAAAUGUAGUUUUUAAAUUAAAUCUAAAAAUAUUUCAUUAUUUAAUUGUUAUACCAGUCAUAAUUAACUUAUUUAAUUAAGUAUUUAAAUAAAUAACCCUUCUAGGUUGUUGGUGUUUAGGCUUAAUUAUUUAUUUUUGAGAUAAAAUUCCUGCAGUUGCUAUACUUUAUACUUCAGUACAGUAAAAGUGCUCAAAUUUGUUAUAAUAUUCAUUUUAUAAUAAAUCCAAAAGCAAGACAUGAAAAAAAAAUUGUAGGGAGUUAUAAUGGUAAUUUCAUGUCAGUUUCAUCAUAAAAGUCUGUCUUGCGCCAGGAGACAAUUUUUUCACAUUUUUUUUUUCAUAAUGAAUGAAAAGUCAAUCUUUAAAGUGGAUUUUACUGCACAGUUGUAGAGUCUUAUGUUCAUGACUACAAAAAUAACUUAUUGAUUAUCAAUUAUGAUGUUGUUUACGAGAUAGGAUCGCUUGCUAGCUAACAUUAGCCUUAACAGUUACAAUAGUGUUUAGUUGUCUGCGUUUAAAUGCAUUUAAAUGUUUUAUAUUACCAGGCUCGGCAUAUAAAAUUAUAUGUUGUUAAAUGUUGUUUAAUAACAUGAAACUGUAUAUUAAUGUCACUAUCAUUAUUUUGUUUCUCAGUUUCUGACAAGAACAAGGCAGGAGAGGUUUCCGGAAGGGUCUCAACUUUCACAUGCUGCUGUCGUGCUGUUGGGGGAGCUGUAGUCCCAGUGAAGCUCUGGCAAGCCAUUCUUACCAUCUGCUCUCUGCCUUUCUCACAUGCUUCCUGUGUGCGUCUCAUCUCCCCGAGAGACUGGCUCCUGGACGCUUCGACUACAUCCGUCACAGUCACCAGCUCUUUCACAACCAUGAACCAUGGGGGUUCUUGCACUGGGCAUCCUGCUCAACCUGGGCAUCAUCUGCAUCUUUAGUGCCGGUUUGCCGCGAACACCUUCAUCAGGAGUAAAAAGCUUUCUUGACCACUGCACACCUCACUGAGCACCUUCCUGGACGAUUUUACACUAUAGCGCACUUAUACAGUCACUUUCAAUUAUACUUUUCUACUAAGAAGCUAAACGUUUAGGCUCUCACUCAUUGUAGUUUCCUUUUAUACCUACGGUUUAUUAUCUCAGCUGAAACCCUAAUGAUAAUCGUGAGCUUUCAGGUGGUGUUAUUUUAUUCUUUAGUCAUCACUGUGAAAGGUUGAGGGUUGAAUGACUCUAAUAUUGAUUUUUACAGGUUAUAUUCUAACAUAGUUUGGGGUUUCAAUAAACACAACAUGAUGCUUGUGUCACUCCGUAUUAAUGUUGUGUAACAUUAACUGGAAAAUAGCAUUAAUCAGGGAUUUUAUAUUUGCAUAUAACAUCAUUAAUAUAAUUAAUCCAGUUUUAUUAUUGUUGCAUAUCAAAAUACACAAAAAUUAUGGUGGGCAUCAUAUCUAAACUACUGGCAGGUUGGUGAAUUUUUCCCCUUUAAAUAUUCAUAUUUGUAAUGUCCCUUUUUAUUAUAAUUUGGAUUUACUGGAACACCUCAGGUGCAGUAACAAAUUAAUUAAGGGCUUUUUUUCACUGUUACGUAUCGUGAAGGCAUCAUUCUCCUACUGAACUGCAUCUCAUGGGAAUAUGGGGCUGCACUGGAGUCCUUCACUGAGGUUUAGAUGUUUCUAGACAUUUGGGGAACAGCUUUGAUUCAUGUGUCGUCCUCUGCAUCUGCUCACAUUUCUGUGGUAGUGUUGUUUUGUUCAUUGCAGGUUUAUGGCAUACAAUACACUAUUUAUAUUCAUACACACGCUUUUCAUAUUUAACUGCAUUUUGCCAAUGCACUUGUGGAUCCAGUGCAAGCUCGAGAUUGUUUUUUUACUCAUGUAAUUAGUUCCGUUCUGUUCUUAAACCAGAAAUCAAAGCUCGUCGUUGUGUAUGGCUAAACUCUUAACCUCUGUCUCUCAUUUUGUCCUUUUUCUUUUUCGUUUGGUCUUUAAAUCUGAGGAUUCAAAUAUGCAAUCAUUAUCACAAUAUCUUUUAUUUGCCAUUGUCAAUAUUUUUGUAACAAAUGUGUAAAAAUAUGAAAGUGCCUAGAAUUAAACGGACUCAUUGUUCACUGCAGUGUUUGUCCAGCUGUUGUGGUCUCAUUGAAUACAGAGCGAUUACACAAAUAGCAUUAUUGGCUUAACACACAAAUGUAUGAGCCAGUUCUGUUCCUAUAAUUCUGUUGUGUAAUAGAUGUUUUUGUGAGUAAGAGUGUUUGUUUGCACUAUGCUGAAGAUUUGAGGGAUCCUCCUUUGACAUCUUUCAGGUUCUGUUUAUAGAGAGUGGAGUACAGGUAUCUCUGCCUUUCACUGCUUUAUAUAAAAAGCACAUCAUUAAGCAUUUUAAAUGAUUGUUUUUCUCAUUUUUGUAUAAUUAUAUUGAGUUUUUAUUAUGUCUUAUACAUAAUUUAAUUAUUAAUUGAUGAAAUUAAAUCCAACUUUUAUACAAUAAUUUGAAUAAAAUGAUUAUAGUUUUGUACUUUAAGAUAUUUACUUGUCACUCAGCAGGACAUUUAAAG